rfam:Fungal sp. No.14919 DNA, contig: Contig0005.
GGUUUCCUGGUGUAAUGGUUAUCACUGUGGAUUUUGAUUCCACCAAUCUGGGUUCGAUUCCCGGGGAGACCU